CCUGGUAGUAUGAUAAAUCACAGGAAUAAACCGUGUGGAGCAAUUAUAUAAGCUCGACAGCCUAAAAAUGGGUAAAAGAGAGUAGUACGAUGAGUGUGGGGUGUAACAAGAACCAGACUUAUAGUCUGUAGCAGCAAUGUAUAAAAUUAUGUUGAUACCAUGGGAAUAGCUAUGAGUGGCUCAGAAAUGUUUGCAUGCUUGAAAAAGACAUCUGAGG